UACGUAGGGGGCUAGCGUUGUCCGGAAUCAUUGGGCGUAAAGAGCUCGUAGGCGGUGUGUCGCGUCGGCCGUGAAAACCUGCAGCUUAACUGUGGGCUUGCGGUCGAUACGGGCAUCACUGGAGUUCGGCAGGGGAGACUGGAAUUCCUGGUGUAGCGGUGGAAUGCGCAGAUAUCAGGAGGAACACCGGUGGCGAAGGCGGGUCUCUGGGCCGAUACUGACGCUGAGGAGCGAAAGCGUGGGGAGCAAACAGG
rnacentral:rRNA from 1 species